rnacentral:rRNA from 1 species
AUCGAACGCUGGCGGCAGGCCUAACACAUGCAAGUCGAACGAGGGGCGGACGGGAGAGGAAUGUCUGGGAAACUGCCUGAUGGAGGGGGAUAACUACGGGAAACGGUAGCUAAUACCGCAUACCAUCAGAUGUGCCCAGAUGGGAUUAGCUUGUUGGGGGGGUAACGGCUCACCACGGCGACGAUCCCUAGCUGGUCUGAGAGGAUGACCAGCCACACUGGAACGGUGACACGGUCCAGACUCCUACGGGAGGCACCAGUGGGGAAUAUUGCGCAAUGGGCGCAAGCCGGAUGCAGCCAUGCCGCGUGUAUGAAGAAGGCCUUCGGGUUGUAAAGUACUUUCAGCGGGGAGGCGUUACCCGCAGAAGAAGCACCGGCUAACUCCGUGCCAGCAGCCGCGGUAAUUC